rnacentral:rRNA from 1 species
GAUGAACGCUGGCGGCGUGCCUAAUACAUGCGAGUCGAGCGAACAGAUGAGGAGCUUGCUCCUCUGACGUUAGCGGCGGACGGGUGAGUAACACGUGGAUAACCUACCUAUAAGACUGGGAUAACUUCGGGAAACCGGAGCUAAUACCGGAUAAUAUAUUGAACCGCAUGGUUCAAUAGUGAAAGACGGUUUUGCUGUCACUUAUAGAUGGAUCCGCGCCGCAUUAGCUAGUUGGUAAGGUAACGGCUUACCAAGGCAACGAUGCGUAGCCGACCUGAGAGGGAGAUCGGCCACCCUGGAACUGAGACCCGUUCGAGACGCCAGCGGGAGGCAGCAGUAGGGAAUGUUCGGCAAUGGGCGAAAGCCUGACAGAGCACGGUAGCGUGAGAGAUGAAGGUCUUAUGAUCUUAAAACUCUGUUAUCCGGGAAGAACAAAUGUGCAAGUACCUAUGCACGUCUUGACGGUACCUAAUCAGAAAGCCACGGCUAAGUACGUG